UCCUCCAUAGCUCAGUGGUAGAGCGUCCAACCGGCACCUGGAAGGUCAUGGGUUCGAUUCCCGUUGGGGAGCUCAGAA
rnacentral:tRNA from 1 species